AAUUACAAACCCAAUAACCUAAACCCUAAUAGCCCAAUACAACCUAAAACAAAAGUAAGCAGAAGAAAGAAAAAACCCUGAAGUUGUAGUGGAGUGGAUUGAAGCAACAAUUCCUAUACCCUUAAAGAUGCAGUGGGAUGAAAUAAGGCUACUUUAAGAAAAGAAGCACCAAAAAGUCAAGAUUCGGCAAAACCAGGCAAAAUUGACCCUUUUAAAAGUCUUUGCUCCAUUCACGCUACACGUCAACGAGCAAAAAAGGGCAACUAUAAUAGGCCAAUUUUGG
rnacentral:lncRNA from 1 species